AAAAGUUUUACAAACCCAUAAAGCUAUGGUUUAAGAGCAAAGCCCAAUUAGAGAAACCUUUAAUAAAGAACCUUAGUAGAACUAGAGCCCAACGAAGCCCAGUGAUAGAAUUAGAAGUAAAGCCCAGGUCAUUAACUUCAGUUUGUGAGACGGAGGAGAUGACGAUGUCGAGAGACGGAGGAGAUGACGAUGGGGCAGAGUUAACCAAUCCAAGUCUGCAUCAUUCUGGAGCAGAGACGAGGGGUUGAUUCGCGGAGAGAGUGAAUCCGGUUCCUGAUUUGGCGAUCAAUGGUUUUGAAGAGGGAAUCAACGGUUUUAAAAGUGUUUGCAUGCAGUCGGGUAUUCCUUUCAAUCCAAAUCCAGUACAAGACAGAGUUCCAAGCUAAGAGCGAUAAGAGUUUACUUGAUUUCGGGGGAGGCAAGUUGAUCAUCUGAUUCAGCAGAUCCGACCAGUUACGAAGUAGAGGAAGCCGACAGCGAUUUGCCACAAGAGACCAGAGAUCAUGGCUAAACGGACAGUCUAAAAACAGAUGGUUUCUUGAUUCUGCAGUAGAGUUACAUAGCAGACAGAGAUGAUUCACUUGCAAACCCCAGCUGAUCAAGCGGUCCCGAGUAGGCAGUCUGUCUAAGACAACCAUCCAAGUGUGGAAGCUGUGUCUCGGGAUGGAUUUCGGAGACCAGACAGCCGCUGACCACUCCACUUUAUCUAUACUUCCACGCAGCUGGGAGAGACCAAGCCCCAUUCCUGUGAAGUGAAGCGACAGUAGCUUUCAUGGGAAUCCCUAACCUGGAUUGGGAAGCAUUCAAAUAGUCAUAGAGACAGCCAAAGGUACUCCAGUUAUCGAACCAGAACCUUGCUGAGGCGCCAUUCUGCAACUUCAGGAAACCCAGACUGAGUCAGGCUUGAAGAAGAGAAGCCAGAUAAGCCGCAAGCAGCACGCUUUAUUCCAUGUCUGGAGAUCCUUAACGCCCAAACCUCCCUGCUCCUUCGUUCGAGUCACGGUUCCCCAAGCAACUCUUGCAGAGUUCCGAGAGUCAACGUCCCCCUUCCACAAGAAAGUGCUACAGAGAGAAUCUAUCUUCCGUAUGCAGGCCUUUGGGAGGAUAAAGGAGGAACACCAAAAAGUGGUAAUUCCUGAUAUAACUGUCUUUAUCAAUAGUAAUCUCCCUGAGAAAGAAAGAGUCUU